CAGUCGCCGCGGUAAUACGGGGGGGGCAAGCGUUGUUCGGAAUUAUUGGGCGUAAAGGGUGCGUAGGCGGUUUGAUAAGUCUGAUGUGAAAUCUCUGGGCUCAACCCAGAGUCUGCAUCGGAAACUGUCGGGCUUGAGGAUGGGAGAGGUGAGUGGAAUUUCCGGUGUAGCGGUGAAAUGCGUAGAUAUCGGAAGGAACACCUGUGGCGAAAGCGGCUCACUGGACCAUUACUGACGCUGAUGCACGAAAGCUAGGGGAGCAAACAGGAUUAGAUACCCGUGUAGUCCCUGUCUCUUAUAC
rnacentral:rRNA from 1 species